CCUACGGGCGGCAGCAGUGAGGAAUAUUGGUCAAUGGACGAGAGUCUGAACCAGCCAAGUAGCGUGAAGGAUGACUGCCCUAUGGGUUGUAAACUUCUUUUAUAUGGGAAUAAAAUGUUCCACGUGUGGGAUUUUGUAUGUACCAUAUGAAUAAGGAUCGGCUAACUCCGUGCCAGCAGCCGCGGUAAUACGGAGGAUCCGAGCGUUAUCCGGAUUUAUUGGGUUUAAAGGGUGCGUAGGUGGAUUGUUAAGUCAGUUGUGAAAGUUUGCGGCUCAACCGUAAAAUUGCAGUUGAAACUGGGAGUCUUGAGUACAGUAGAGGUGGGCGGAAUUCGUGGUGUAGCGGUGAAAUGCUUAGAUAUCACGAAGAACUCCGAUUGCGAAGGCAGCUCACUGGACUGCAACUGACACUGAGGCUCGAAAGUGUGGGUAUCAAACAGGAUUAGAUACCCUAGUAGUC
rnacentral:rRNA from 1 species